rnacentral:rRNA from 1 species
UACGUAGGGUGCGAGCGUUGAUCGGAAUUACUGGGCGUAAAGCGUGCGCAGGCGGUUUUGUAAGUCAGAUGUGAAAUCCCCGGGCUCAACCUGGGAAUGGCAUUUGGGACUGCAAGGCUGGAGUGCGGCAGAGGAGACUGGAAUUCCUGGUGUAGCAGUGAAAUGCGUAGAUAUCGGGAGGAACACCGGUGGCGAAGGCGGCUCACUGGCUCGUAACUGACGCUCAGGCGCGAAAGCGUGGGGAUCAAACAGG